AUUGGAGGGAUGAGGCCAGGGGUUGAUGUGGAGCCAUGAAGAAGGUGGGAAACAGGGGCCAUGUGGGCGAGUUAGCAACAAGGUCCAUCCAUGAAGUGCGAGAAGGUAGUGGACGGGAGGCCAUGGGGCCUGUGGCCUGUGGGCAUGAGGUUGUUAGCAAAAUUUUAUCUCAUAGUAGCUUACUUUUAUAUUUCAGACAGUUAGAAAGUACAGUUCGUUAUCUGAGAUUUUGCAAGCAGAGUCGGUCUAUCUGGUACUCUGGGUAUUUCAUCACUCAAUCUUCUUGGUAUUUCAUCAAUUGGAGAAGGUAAUAAAUUUCAUAUCAUCACAGCGCUGUUGUGUUCCCAAACUUGAUUGAUUCUCGUGAUAUCUGCACCUUUGGUCAUCCAUGAGUUAACCCUUGAAGAACACAUUUUCGUCUAAAUUCAUGACCGGUAUAUUAACAGAAUCUAUUAGUCCCUGGACUGGAGUUUGAGCAUAAACGUGAGCUAAUACUCUGUUCAAAUUUUGCAAUAUCGUCCGGGAUAGCAUCAUGUAUAGGAAUCAAGUAGUUGACACUAAUAUUGGUGUGACUGUUGUAUAGCUGUACAACCUUGCACAUAUUUGUAGAUAUCAUGCCAUACACUGUAUAAGCUCAAUUCUAAUGUUGGUUUUAUAAGCUAUGGAUGAAGCUACUCUCUUGUGUAGUUCUAUGUAGGAAUGGAUAAACCAGCUGUUGCAUGUUAUGAAACCUGCCUGUGUUGGUUUAUUUACUGAAUUCAUUGGCCUACUAUAAACGUCCAAAUUUAUAUGCCUAUGUUUCACUCCUACCUUUAAUGUUCCCAUGCACAGUUUUGUCAAAUUUCGAGUUACUCUAUUCCAAAAGAGUAUGUAUACUUUUAUAUAAUUCCCUGUAGGAAUGAGUAAUCUAGCUAUAAUGUCUGAUACAAUAUCUACUCUUCUGUUAUAUGUUUCUGUCCAAGCAGCGGAAACUACAUAACAACAGAUAGGUGUGCUUUUUAUGAUUGCACACUCAUUUGCGACUUGGUUUAACAUAUGUAAAACAUAUGCACCAUAGUUGAUAUGAUGUUCCUACCUUUUCACAUUAUGCAGUGUUCUCUGUAGUUCCUCUUAAUAAUACCUCUUGUUAUCUCUGGGAUAAUCCAAAUCACUUCCUUGUCUGUAAUUCCUUAUUUUGCAUGUAUCUUAAAUAUUACUCUGAGCUUCUUAUCAGCAGUACGUGUGUUCAUUUUUGGCAUAAUCCAAAUGAGUUUCGUCCCAAUCUAUUAUGGCAUUUUCAUGAUCCUUUUGAAUUAUUGUUUGGUACAUUGUUACUUUCAGUGAUAUCCUCCUAAUCUAUUACAUAAUGGUGAUAGAACCUGGAAGAUGCAGUAUUUUAUUGGUCAUAUUUCUUUGUCCAUGAAUAGUCUUUAUAUAUCAGACCGUAUGUACCCAUAUGGCCAUGUGAUUCUGUUAUGACUGCCCAUGCUAUACUGAUGUCUAAUACAAGUAAAGUAACUGCAUUAUACCGAUGCCUGGUUGUGCAGACAGCUGCAACUCUACAUUUCAACAUUGAACUAAACUGAUAAGCUGAAGGCAUGUAGUAUUUUUUCUACCUUGUUUUACUGCUGAUGUGAGUUAAUCAUACUCUAUUCCUUGUGUUGAGCUUGCUGGUUCUGUAUUGAUUCAAUUUUUGUGUCACACCUCUCACCAUGGGAGGCAUCGGGCCAGCGGAGGCAUGUUGAUGGGGACCGACAUGUCUUCUCUGUGGAUGCCGUCACUGCCCCGAGUGGCGACCAGGGAGAUUUGGCCAGCAAAGAGGCAUGAUGAUGGGGACCGAGGUGUUUUCUUCGCAGACCCUAUCUCCGCCCUAGUAGGAUGGGGAAGUGGAGCUGCCCAGGAGGUAUCGGUGGCCUUCCUAUACGUCUUGGUGGUUUAUUAACUAGGUGAGUGUCGAGAUCCAUUGGUGAUGCUUACUUGAAGAAACAUGAGUAUAGCAUGGACCCUUUGUUUCGGCAAAUUGGUCCUGUUAUUGCAUUGGAGCGGACACAGGCCAUAGAGGUUUUCGGCGGUCCUAACAUAGUAGUGAUAGUGAUGAACAAGUAUCCAUGGCAAAUGGGAGUGACUUAUGAGGUUGGUGGCGUUUUUCCAGCGACAAGAUGGGACGGCAAUCUUCUGGGGGCGGCGAUCAGCUGGAGACGGUGGCGGGCAGCUUGAGUUUGUACCACAAGUUGUUUCAAUUCUUGAAAUCAUGUCUGAAUGUUUAAUAAAUUUCCGCAACUCUGAAUUAUGUAAGCUAUAUCCAGCCGUGUUCAUUGUAUAUGUGAGUAUGCUACAACUGAAGAAUACAUACAUUUGAUUC